rnacentral:rRNA from 1 species
GUGUCAGCAGCCGCGGUAAUACGAGUGGUGCAAGCGUUAUUCGGAGUGAUUGGGCGUAAAGGGUGUGUAGGCGGUAUGUUAAGUCAAUUGUUAAAUUCCUCAGCCUAACUGGGGGACGGCAGUUGAUACUGGCGUGCUUGAGAAUGGAAGAGAGAAGUGGAAUUCUCGGAGUAGCGGUAAAAUGCGUAGAUCUCGAGAGGAACACCGAUGGCGAAGGCAGCUUCUUGGUCCAUAUCUGACGCUGAGGCACGAAAGCGUGGGGAGCAAACAGGAUUAGAUACCCUGGUAGUCC